rnacentral:lncRNA from 1 species
GGAGGAGGGUGAAGUUUUGUGAUAGGAAAAUCAAACAAAGGAAUACAGUAAAAAAUCUCACCACUCAUUGCCAGGUGGUGUUUAAGCAAAAUGAGACCCCUCGUCUUCCCAGCUCCGUUCUCUGCAGGGCUGCGUUCUGCAUGCAUCAUGAUGGGAGACGAAAGCUCAAAGAAUGAUGGUUGUUAUUAUUUUCUUUUAACUGAAAGUAGAGGUCUUUUACACAUGGAGAGAUCUGAACCUGGUUUGUUUCUUGCCUUGGGGAGGAAAAAGAACCAAAACCAACGAAAUGGGGAAUGGUUUAAACUGAGACAAGGGAGGUUUAGGUUGGAUAUGAGGAAGAAGUUUUUCCCCCAGGGGGUGGUGACGCACUGAACAGGUUGCCCAAGGAGGCUGUGGAUGCCCCAUCCCUGCAGGCAUUCAAGGCCAGGCUGGAUGUGGCUCUGGGCAGCCUGGUCUGCUGGUUGGCGACCCUGCACAUAGCAAGGGGUUGGAACUGGAUGAGCAUUGUGCUCCUUUUCAACCCAGGCCAUUCUAGAAUUAUGAUUCUAUGAACUCCAGAUUAUCUGUUUGUUACAGCAAACAGUCCAUAGGAGAUGUAUGUGGAAAAUAUAGUCUGCGUGAUGAAGGUUCAACCAUCUUAAAAGAAUAUAUUCUCUCCUCUUUACACUUUGUCAUUUCACACAGUACCCCUUAAAAAAAUAAAAUAAUGGUGGAGAGGAGUUAAGGAUGGGAACUGAUUGGAAAAGGGGAAAUUGAAAAAAGUACUGGAUUGGUCUACAGGGGAUUUUUUGUUAAAAAAACUGCACAAACUUAAUGAGGAAAAUCCAUGAGUACGCUUUUUAUCAAUUUCUCAUGAAAGAAUAAGAAUUCCCUUCCUCAGAAUUGCUCUUAUUUUGCCAUUCUGAAAUAGAAGGUUUCAGCCAGUUUUUUGUCAUGCCUUUGCUUUUGACUAACCUGAUGUGCAUUAGUACCACGACUGGAGCAGGAUGAAUUCCUGGAAAACCUUACCAGUCAUUUAUUUUCUUUUGCUUUCUUUUGUUCCCAGAUUCUCAUGCCUGCCCACCUUCCCCUGCUUUGCUCAAUCCUUUCCUCUCUUACCUUUCAUGGAAGUCCAGAGAACUCAAGUGGGAAAUUGCACUGGAUGUAGGACUCCUGAAACCUUGG